rnacentral:rRNA from 1 species
GCGGGGGUGCUCCCACGCGUUUAAACGGUAGCCGGGAGGCAAUCUGGUGGUUUAGCUGGCGAACGGGUGAGUAUAUAUCGGAACGUGCCCAGAUCGUGGGGGAUAACGCAGCGAAAGCUGUGCUAAUGACCGCAUACGAUCUACGGAUGAAAGCGGGGGAUCGCAAGACCUCGGCGCGAUUGGAGGCGGCCGAUAUCAGAUUAGCUAGUUGGUGGGGUAAAGGCCCACCAAGGCGACGAUCUGUAGCUGGUCUGAGAGGACGACCAGCCACACUGGAACUGAGACACGGUCCAGACUCCUACGGGAGGCAGCAGUGGGGAAUUUUGGACAAUGGGCGCAAGCCUGAUCCAGCAAUGCCGCGUGCAGGAUGAAGGCCUUCGGGUUGUAAACUGCUUUUUGUACGGAACGAAACGGUGAGCUCUAAUAAAGUUUGCUAAUGACGGUACCGUAAGAAUAAGCACCGGCUAACUACGUGCCAGCAGCCGCGGUAAUACGUAGGGUGCAAGCGUUAAUCGGAAUUACUGGGCGUAAAGCGUGCGCAGGCGGUUGUGUAAGACAGGCGUGAAAUCCCCGGGCUCAACCUGGGAAUGGCGCUUGUGACUGCACAGCUGGACGUGCGGCACGAGGGGGAUGGGAAUUUUCCCGCGUUGUUAGCCAGUGAAAAAUGCCGUAAGAAUUAUUGCCGGGAAGGGAAACACCCGAUUGGCGAAAGGGCCAAUCCCCCCUGGGGGCCUGGCACUGGAACGGCUCAUGCACCAAAAAGCGUGGGGGAGCCACACCACGGGACUUUUGAUCCCCUCGGCUGUCCACACGGGCCCUAAAACCGAUGUCAACCUGGGUUGUGGGGUCUUCACCGGCACCAAAACGAAACAACCGCGUUAAAUUAACGCG